CGUGUAUUUGACGAGCUGAGUUCGACACUCAGUGUGGCAGUGUCAGUUUGUCAAAUAUACAAA
rnacentral:pre_miRNA from 1 species